UACAGAGGUGGCAAGCGUUGUUCGGAAUUACUGGGCGUAAAGGGCGCGUAGGCGGCCUUCUAAGUCCCGUGUGAAAGCCCUCGGCUUAACCGAGGAACUGCACGAGAAACUGGACGGCUUGAGUUCGGGAGAGGGAAGCGGAAUUCCGGGUGUAGCGGUGAAAUGCGUAGAUAUCCGGAGGAACACCGGUGGCGAAGGCGGCUUCCUGGACCGACACUGACGCUGAGGCGCGAAAGCUAGGGGAGCAAACGGG
rnacentral:rRNA from 1 species